UACGUAGGGCGCAAGCGUUGUCCGGAAUUAUUGGGCGUAAAGAGCUCGUAGGCGGCUUGUUGCGUCGUCCGUGAAAACCCGUGGCUCAACUGUGGGCGUGCGGGCGAUACGGGCAGACUAGAGUACUGCAGGGGAGACUGGAAUUCCUGGUGUAGCGGUGGAAUGCGCAGAUAUCAGGAGGAACACCGGUGGCGAAGGCGGGUCUCUGGGCAGUAACUGACGCUGAGGAGCGAAAGCGUGGGGAGCGAACAGG
rnacentral:rRNA from 1 species